CUUUAAAAAUCUGGAUCAAGCUGAAAAUUGAAACGACACACUGUUUCAUUUCUCCGUAAUAAGAAAUGAAAAACGGUGUGUUCGAGUCUCUCAAAAUUUUUGCAAGUCGAUGAUGAAUCGAAAGAAACAUCUUCGG
rnacentral:sRNA from 1 species